rnacentral:rRNA from 1 species
UAGUCCACGCCGUAAACGAUGGAUACUAGAUGUCGGGGGGCUCUUGCCCUUCCGGUGUCGUAGCUAACGCGUUAAGUAUCCCGCCUGUGGAGUACGGCCGCAAGGCUAAAACAUAAAGAAAUUGACGGGGGCCCGCACAAGCGGUGGAGCAUGUGGUUUAAUUCGAUGCAACGCGAAGAACCUUACCUACCCUUGACAUCCUCAGAACUUGUUAGAGAUAACUUGGUGCCUUCGGGAAUUGAGUGACAGGUGCUGCAUGGCUGUCGUCAGCUCGUGUCGUGAGAUGUUGGGUUAAGUCCCGCAACGAGCGCAACCCUUGUCCCUAGUUGCCAGCACAUAAUGGUGGGAACUCUAGGGAGACUGCCGGUGACAAACCGGAGGAAGGUGGGGAUGACGUCAAAUCAUCAUGGCCUUUAUGCCUGGGGCUACACACGUGCUACAAUGGUAGGUACAGAGGGCAGCCAAACCGCGAGGUUGAGCAAAUCCCUUAAAGCCUAUCCCAGUUCGGA